AGAAUCAACGCUGGCGGCGUGCCUAACACAUGCAAGUCGAACGAGAAAGUGGAGCAAUCCAUGAGUAAAGUGGCGCACGGGUGAGUAACACGUGACUAACCUACCCUUGAGUGGGGGAUAACCUAGGGAAACCUGGGCUAAUACCGCAUAAUACCUUCGGGUCAAAGGAGCAAUUCGCUUAGGGAGGGGGUCGCGGCCGAUUAGUUAGUUGGCGGGGUAAUGGCCCACCAAGACUGUGAUCGGUAU
rnacentral:rRNA from 1 species